GACGAACCGUGCGAACGUUAUUCGGAAUCACUGGGCGUAAAGAGCGCGCAGGCGGCUGGGCAAGUCCGAUGUGAAAGCUUCCGGCUUAACUGGAAAAUUGCAUCGGAAACUGCUCGGCUUGAAGGUGGGAGAGGGUAGCGGAAUUCCCGGUGUAGUGGUGAAAUGCGUAGAUAUCGGGAGGAACACCAGUGGCGAAGGCGGCUACCUGGCCCACUCUUGACGCUGAGGCGCGAAAGCUAGGGAAGCAAACGGG
rnacentral:rRNA from 1 species